GAUGAACGCUGGCGGCGUGCCUAAUACAUGCAAGUCGAGCGAACAGAUGAGGAGCUUGCUCCUCUGACGUUAGCGGCGGACGGGUGAGUAACACGUGGAUAACCUACCUAUAAGACUGGGAUAACUUCGGGAAACCGGAGCUAAUACCGGAUAAUAUAUUGAACCGCAUGGUUCAAUAGUGAAAGACGGUUUUGCUGUCACUUAUAGAUGGAUCCGCGCCGCAUUAGCUAGUUGGUAAGGUAACGGCUUACCAAGGCAACGAUGCGUAGCCGACCUGAGAGGGUGAUCGGCCACACUGGAACUGAGACACGGUCCAGACUCCUACGGGAGGCAGCAGUAGGGAAUCUUCCGCAAUGGGCGAAAGCCUGACGGAGCAACGCCGCGUGAGUGAUGAAGGUCUUCGGAUCGUAAAACUCUGUUAUUAGGGAAGAACAAAUGUGUAAGUAACUAUGCACGUCUUGACGGUACCGAAGCAGAAAGCCACGGCUAACUACGG
rnacentral:rRNA from 1 species